UUCCGGUUGAUCCCGCCAGAGGUCACUGCUAUCGGGGUUCGAUUAAGCCACGCGAGUCGAGAGGGUUCGGCCCUCGGCGUACUGCUCAGUAACACGUGGAUAACCUGCCCUAAGGAAGGGGAUACCCCCGGGAAACUGGGGAUAAUACCCUAUAGGUUACAGAUGCUGGAAUGCUCUGUACCCGAAAGUUCCGGCGCCUUAGGAUGGAUCUGCGGCCGAUUAGGUUGUUGUCGGGGUAACGGCCCAACAAGCCAGUAAUCGGUACGGGUUGUGGGAGCAAGAGCCCGGAGUUGGAUUCUGAGACACGAAUCCAGGCCCUACGGGGCGCAGCAGGCGCGAAAACUUUACAAUGCGGGCAACCGUGAUAAGGGAACCUCGAGUGCCUGUAUAUGCAGGCUGUCUGGGUGUCUAAAACACACCUAAAGAAAGGGCCGGGCAAGACCGGUGCCAGCCGCCGCGGUAAUACCGGCGGCUCGAGUGGUGGCCACUUUUAUUGGGCUUAAAGCGUUCGUAGCUGGGUUAUUAAGUCCCUUGGGAAAUCCGACGGCUUAACCGUCGGGCGUCUAAGGGAUACUGGCAAUCUUGGAACCGGGAGAGGUGAGGGGUACUUCGGGGGUAGGAGUGAAAUCCUGUAAUCCUCGAGGGACCACCUGUGGCGAAGGCGCCUCACCAGAACGGCUUCGACAGUGAGGGACGAAAGCUGGGGGAGCAAACCGGAUUAGAUACCCGGGUAGUCCCAGCCGUAAACGAUGUGCGUUAGGUGUAUCGGUGACCACGAGUCACCGAGGUGCCGAAGGGAAACCGUGAAACGUACCGCCUGGGAAGUACGGUCGCAAGGCUGAAACUUAAAGGGAAUUGGCGGGGAGGCAC
rnacentral:rRNA from 1 species